GGUCGCUUAGCUCAGCCGGGAGAGCACCUCCCUUACAAGGAGGGGGUCACUGUUUCGAUCCCAGUAGCGACCA
rnacentral:tRNA from 1 species